AAGAAUUUCAGCUGCCCAUCACAAUAAGGAACAUUCUUUAAUUCUCCCUCUUUCCCAUAUAUCACUUGGGGCUGAUAAGUUGCUUCUAUAAUACAUGUCCAAGGGAAUUACAUUGGAAGUGAUAGGCACUGAUAGGCAAAUGGCCACUCGUUCUUCCAAUAUUUUGUGAAAAUAAUGGUUUAUUUUUGUUGGUUUGUUUUAUGAAUUUGACACAGAACACAGCUGGGAGAUACCUGAAAUAGAAAAGCACCACAAUCAAUGAUCUAUGCCAAAUCAUAAAAUAGUUCUUCUUUUAAAAGUAAAAAAAUAAGGAUGCCUCACAUGGGCAGAAGGCAUUUCUCAUACAGGCUUUAUGGCUGCUUUAUGGCCAGCCUGGAUUACUAUGUUGCUGUAUCUCAAUCACUUACAGGAAGCCAUCACUCCAUCUCCCACUGCCCAUCAGCCCAAAUUCAAUCCUGCGCCUGCCAGGCCUCCAUCUGAGUGGCCAUCUACAAAAUAACCAAUGACAUUAGUGACUGUGGCCUCUUGAUGACUUCCCCAGUUCUGUUUCUAAAGCCCAUUUAAAAUACAUUUCUCGUUUUACUACACAUUCAAAUUUUAUUCCUCUGGUUAUAGAACUAUAAAUGUCUGCAUUUCAUAUAGACUAAAAAUGAAGGGUAUAUAAGCAUGUAUAAAUCACACUGCAAAAGUUGCAUUUUCUUCAUUGUACUCGAUAUUUGGCUGGAUGAAAAUUAUAUUAUCUGGCGACUGCUCACAUUCUUCUGUAUCUAAAUAUGCAAAAGAGGCCCACACACAAUGCAUUUUUUUUCACAAUUAGGCUACUAUAGACCAUAUUUUAAGGUGAAAUAAAAUUCCUUCCUGAAAUCAAACAAUGCUCUGGUGGGUAUGCAUAUUCUUUAUGCCCAUAUGAUUGGAGUUAAGUUUCAUCAUAUAAAAAUUGAGGAAGUUCUGUUGUUGGGAAUUGAAAAUUGAUCUACUGUGCAAAAUGUGCAAAAUGGGAAUAAUAAUAUUGACCCUGCCUCAGGAAAGUGACUUACAAAAAAGAAGGACACAGCCUCUGAUGACAUACUGAGGGGGCUCUUCAAACCUGGGAUUUGAUAGCUCUCUGUAGGGAGAGGGCCUCUAGAGCUUUAUGAACCUGGGAAGGGAAUGCCUUUUCUCACUGCCUGGGAAGAGAGAGCCUGUUUCUUUGUUCCCUUAAACAAAUAGUAAACAAAUAAUGACCAGGUGCUUGGGGCUAGAUCAGAGACUAGAGUGACAUGAGCUGUGUGGCCCCCCAUCCUCUGCAGCUGUGAAUACUACAUAGCAGAGGUGCCCUAACGAUCUGUUUAUUCUGCAGCAAAGAAAACAAGUCUCAUUCUGAAUUUGUUUGAGAAGUGAACUUAGGAUCCUUGAAUUUAACGUAAACUCUCCCAACAUCAUGCCUAAUUGAGAGGUCCUUUGAACCCUCCUAUAUUUGCAGUUUCCCAAAGCCAUCUGUCAAUGCACAAAGGUUUUUGCAAACUAGUAGGAUCACCUCCAACAAGGGUGGGUAAAGCACCCACAGGGAGUACUUGAAAGAGAAAGAAAUCGUUUUGGAAAGCGUCUCCCUUUUCCUUUAACAUCUCCACGCACAUCAACUUCCAGAAAAGACAGAAAUUCCCAACCCAGGUGUGCAGUUUCUGGUGGAAAUCAGAAAGCUAGAUCUGGAAUCAAUAACUCCCCGUUUUCUGAAUAAGCAACAUCUUUAAGGAUUCCACUUUUAUGUGUUUUAUUCAAUACAAUUACUCCAUUUGAGCACGUGAGAAAAUGUCAUGAACACACAUGAGGAAACAAAUUCAGGGAUGAUUGGAAUAUCUCUUCAGUUGUCUCAUGGCUGGCAAGACUGGACGAGUUUCUAAUGCUUGCUUCCUUUCCUUAAACUUUGACAAGCCAAAUGAGAGAUUCUCAGCAAAUUAUAGUUCUGCUUAAAGAAGAGUUUUACGUUUCCAGGGAAAGAGAUAUGUGGUCAUUGCUAACUAUGCUAAAGUGACGCGCUUCCAAAAUCUACAUGGCAGAGUUCCCUAAACAACGUAUAGACAUAACGUAGAAUAAGCAUGUGGUAGUUCCACACCACUGGUACCAGAAAUUGGGUAAGAAGAUGCCUUUUGAAGAGAAUUUCACCUCACGGUCCUAAAAUAACAUUGGCUUUGUACAUAUGAUAAUACCAAUCUCCAUCAGCCAGCCCCCUGUCCGCUUUUUCUCUUUUUGCCCCUUUUUCUCAGUACUUCUUUCCCAGCUCUCUUAUAGACCUUCAGCUCUCUAAGAUGUAGUCCCUUUGUUUUUUGUUCAUUUCCAUUUUGACUUCGCCCACUUUGCUCCUUUUCCCUACGGUUAGAAAAGUUGUGACUUAAAGGUUCAGCCCUUGUCCCACCUCUAAGUAAAUAGCCCACUACUCUAGUAGCUUACAACCAUUGCUUUUCAGAGGUACCACAGAGCGUAUUGUGAACGCCAUUAGUUUGCACCGACUGCCUGUUUAGCCUAUGUCACCUUUUUAUUUUUGCUGUGUGUUCCCUCUUCCCGGCUAGGUGGUGAAGGUGAGGGCAAGAGAAUUUCAAGUUUACCUUUCAGUAAUCCCAGCACCUGGAAUUUGCACCUUUUAUAAAGCCACUUCGGAGACACUAAAUGCCUCUUCCUGCUGUCCAAAGCAGAGGGUCAUCUAUAAAUGCUCUUCCUUCUUCCUCCCCCAUGAUGGAAUGUCCUGGGACAUAAUCAGAUGCGCAUGAGUUGUGUUUGGUACCAAAUAGAGACCAGCUCCAUAAUACACCUUCUUGUUGGCCAUCCUUUCUUUCUUGCCUCACUCUUCCCCCACCCCCAGUUUCUGCUUCUCUAGGACUAUACUCCUUUAUACAAUAGUGCGUAUAAACUUUUGUCUUGGGUUCUGAUUUUUGGAGAACUGAAGCAAAGACACAGGCACAGUGACCUCUCUAAAGAAGGACUUGCUGCCCGGCUACAGGGAGUGAGGUCAGCAGACAUGUCUGAGCUGUCAGCUCCUUCAGGCUCUGCCUUAGCUGUAGAGAACUGCCUCCCUCAGAUCCAUACCUUUCCUGGGACAGCUCCAUCUGGAGACUGAGCAAGUCAGGCUGUGAAGUUCUGGCCACCUUGGCCUGACAUGAGAUACCUCUGACAAGCAAUAUUCUAUCCAGAGCCCACUGUCAGGUUGGCUGAGGCUUCACUGGGCCUGCAAGAGGCAGAAGUUUGACCUCUUCCUCCACCCAACCCUGCUUCUUCCCCCUCCCUUUACAAAUGUAUCCUAAUAAACAUCCUAUACCCUAAACCCUGCCUCAGUACUUCUCUGGAGAAGACAGUCUGCAACAGCACUAGUUAGAGCCUUUGGGGGUUGCAGAAACACCUAGCCUGAACUGACUUAGGCAAAAAAUAGUAGGGGAAUGGGUUAGGCCCAGGAACUCCAGGGAUUUAGUCAAGACACCCUCAGCUCUGCUCUCCUCUGGCUUCAUUCUCAGGCAGAUUGUGCACAUCAUGGCCUCCAGAAGCUCCAGACUUACCACUUCAAUAGAAAGUAGAACUUUCUCAAAAAGUCCAGCAAAGUUCUGGAAUUGAGCCUCAUUGGUGUAGAUUAUUGCUUUAUGUGCUAGGACGAGACCAAUUACCAGGACCGAAAACACAAUCUGUGGGGCCCAAUGCAAAAUGAAAAUGUAAGGCCCCUUGUUAAAAAAUUACUAAGAAUUUCAAGAUGGCAACCACUGCACAUUUAAUCAAGGGUGGGACCUUUCUGAGGUCAGGGUCCUGUGAGACCACACAGGUCUUAGGCCCACAAAGCUGGCCCUGUCAGUCACUGUGGCCAGGGGACAAACACUUUUUUGAUAAGAUUUGGUCAUGUGCCUAUUCCUGAGGCAGGGAUUAGGAUUCCCCAAUGAGCACUCAAAGGAAUUGAUUCUGGGUGUGGCAAACCCACAGACACAGCAUCACACAUUCCUACCGGUCGUAUAAUAGCUAAAAAGGUAUCACGAUGGGGCGCUUGGGUGGCUCAGUCGGUUGAGCGUCCGACAUCGGCUCAGGUCAUGAUCUCACGGUUUGUGGGUUGGAGCCCUGCACCCGGCUCUGUGCUGAUGGCUUGGAGCCUGGAGCCUGCUUCAGAUUCUUUGUCUCUGUCCCUCCCCUACUCACACUCUGUCUCUCUCAAAAACAUAAGCAAACAUUAAAAAAAAAAAUUUUUUUUAAGGUAUCACGAUGUAAUGGAAAGGAUAAGUUCCAGUUUGACAAAGUCUUGAGUUGGAACCCUGAAUUUGACAUUUCUGGAGGCAUGGCUUCAGGCAAGUCACUGAAACUUCUCUGAAACUCAGUUUUCUUUUCUACAAAGUGGGCAUAAAAAUACCUACCUGCCUCGCAGGGUUGUUGCGAUGCAUGUAGGAGACAAUGUGUGCAGGUGAUUAGCCCAGCGCCUGGCACAGAACAGGGCUUUCACAGAUAGUGGUCACGGGGGUGGUGAUGGUGGUGGGAAACAGCACAGAACCGUGUGUGGAAGGAAGGAAAAGAGAAUCACUGGAAUUCAGGCCCAGUCUGUGCACAAACGACUUCAACUUUCUAAGUCAUGGGUUUCUCACCAACCAACCAAAUGAAUAUUUCAUUCUUCCCCAGUUAAGGCUGGCCUGCGCAUCGUCGGCUUUGAUGUAAGAUGCCUGGCAUCAGUGUUGCCCCCCUCUGCGAACCAGGCCUUUGGAGGAAAGGGAGAAAGGAGUCCCUCCCUUGAAGAACUGAAGGAAUGCUCCCUUCCAGACCUGAAGAAGGGACUCCAGACUUCUCUGUAUGAUGCACAAGCCGGGUACAAGCGAGAGCACUAAAUCAAAAGCAAGCCAAAAAGAGUCCUUUUGCUAUCUUUCUCAGAACUGGGUAAAAUUCAUAUUAAUUAACAUGUGAAACCCUUAAUGUCUGUCUUUACCUUGUCUUAUUAGACUUUUCUUCUUCCUUUCCCUACUUCCCACACCUGCAUCAGAGGCACCAGAAUCGUGUUCAUUUUAGGCCUCACAUUCAGAGACAAAUUGUAACAUUCAGUUACCUUUCAAAUGGUCACAUUUGCAUUGAAACAUGGGCCUUUUGAAGAAAAUACCAUCACCGAAAAGAGUGUCAGACCAAAGGUUCUUUGACAUUUCUGGACCAUCAGACCGAUAACUCUGAUCUUGAGAAAGCUGCUCAAAAUGGAGUGAUCAUCUGAAUAGACCAUAUAGAUGGGGGAACUAAAGCAUUCACUAGGGGCACUUAUUUAGGACUGACAGCUUUGGAAUUAAAUUAGAAAAGUACUGUUGCACCAUGCUGGGGAUGUAACAAGCAUGUCAUAUUUACUAUUUUUUUUUUAAAUUAUAAGAAUAAAAAUAGUUGGAACUAGUUACUGAAUGAUAGACAAACAUAGCACUGGAUAGCUAACAACAUGUAGCUAUGCUCAUUUUCUUGGAGAUAGUUUUAAGGUGCCUAAGGAGGAAAUGGGCGGUGUUUUUAAAAAAGUUAUUUUUCCAAAACACUGUGUCCUUCUCAUUUAUUCCCUUGAUAAACAGCUUUCCUUUGUGUAGCGUGAGACCAAUGUCAGGUUCCCAGGGAUACUUAAGAGAACCCUGAAUUAGGGGCACCUGGCUACCUCAGUCGGUAGAGCAUGUGACUCUUGAUCUUGGGGUUGUAAGUUUGAGCCCCAUGUUGGGUGUAGACAUAAACAAACAAACAAACAAACAUGGAUGUAUAUAUUUAUUUAAAAAGAAAGAAAGAAAACCUUGAAUUAGUUUAUUAAUUCUAUAGUCAUCGUAGCAGAUUUCUAGUCGUUCUGUAAAAUCUACCAUGUAGGUACAGUAGAUUUCUGUAGUCAUUUUGUAAAAACCCCAGUGUUAUCUGUCAGCUCAGGUUUGCCAAGAGAAUGCAAGUGGAUACCAGGGAAUGAUGAUCUGAGCAGUAGUGAUUCCUGAAUUCCUAAAUACAGGUCCCCUCCCGCCUCNNNNNNNNNNNNNNNNNNNNNNNNNNNNNNNNNNNNNNNNNNNNNNNNNNNNNNNNNNNNNNNCCCCCCACCCCCGCCCCAUCUUGGGAAACAGAAGUGAAGCACACACGGAGAACAAGUGGAAAGGUGUACUCCCAGCAGGAAGUUUCUAGAUUUAUUAUGAAUCUUUAAAAACAAGCCGACUAGCAUAAAGCACCAAUGAAAAACUCCAACUAGGAUUUUGUUCGGAUUAGAAUUCAUAAUCAAGAUCUUGAGUAAAUCACAAAGUCAUGGUUACUCGCCUGGAUUUUAGAAUAAUUAGGAGAAACGUACACUUGAUGCACUACCCCUCUCAGACCUCCAGACCUUCCUCCGAGACAGCCCAGGUCCUUCCACCUAGAAGAGAAUCCUCCAAUCUGAGCCGGGUUGGCAGUGUGCUAAUCCCGUGUAAUUGUAUUAGUCUCAAUAGCACAUUAGCUGUAAAUGCCCCACAGAAAGGGAGCUGUCAGCCCCGCUAUUGUUUUCCACUUAAUGUGAUUCCGGGCAGCAAAGAAGAAAGGCAGCCAGAGCCCUCCGUCUCACGUUACAGACCACAGUUUCUAAACCAAUUAAGGAAAAGGGAUUUACAGUCCUCAGGAUUAGAGACUCUGUUUAUAUUAUCCUAUAUUUCUUCCCAUAAUACCUUCCAUUUUAUGUCUCCUAAACGCCUUCCCUCCAUCUCUGGAACGCUUCUUCCACGUACACGUACAUUUCCCUAUUUACCUCUCUCUGUUUGCUAUUUGAGUGGAGGCAUCAAACCGGCUAAUUCCUGCUGAUUGUUUUAAUUGUGUUGCAAAAUCCACAUGCAUUUGCUGUUAGGAGAACUCAGGAACAAAAAUGCUGGGGCUCAGCCCAAGCCUGAUAUUCAAGCAGACCUUGAUAAAGCGGUACAUUUCUGUGUAAGCCAUCAUUCCAAUUAAUUGAAUGAAAACAUCCUGCAGGAUGUUUAUCGGAGAAAUAAAGCUUGGCUCUCAGGAGGCAAAUUGGUCAGUAUCCUGAUAUCGCAGCAAGAAGUGCCAAUUUUUUUUCUUUUUAGGAUUACAUCUGAUGUGGACGUAUAAUGAGGUUUCACUGAAGCAAGGGGACAAAUGAGGAGAUGCUAUGUAAGAAAGCUCCAGACCAUUUUAAACAAAUCGU
rnacentral:lncRNA from 1 species